rnacentral:rRNA from 1 species
CUACGGGGCGCUCCAGUGAGGAAUUUUGCGCAAUGGGGGAAACCCUGACGCAGCAACGCCGCGUGAGUGAAGAAGGCCUUUGGGUCGUAAAGCUCUGUCAACUGGGAAGAAGUUAGAAUCUAUUAAUAGUAGAUUUUAUUGACGGUACCAGUGGAGGAAGCGCCGGCUAACUCCGUGCCAGCAGCCGCGGUAACACGGGGGGCGCAAGCGUUGUUCGGAAUUAUUGGGCGUAAAGGGCGCGCAGGCGGUCUUGUCAGUCAGGUGUGAAAGCCCGGGGCUCAACCCUGGAAGUGCACUUGAAACAGCAAGACUUGAGUACGGGAGAGGAGAGAGGAAUUCCUGGUGUAGAGGUGAAAUUCGUAGAUAUCAGGAGGAACACCGAUGGCGAAGGCAUCUCUCUGGACCGAUACUGACGCUGAGGCGCGAAGGCGUGGGUAGCGAACGGGAUUAGAUACCCCGGUAGUC